rnacentral:piRNA from 1 species
ACUAGGUACUCAAUGAAGAAAAG